rnacentral:rRNA from 1 species
CACGUAGGGCGCAAGCGUUGUCCGGAAUUAUUGGGCGUAAAGAGCUCGUAGGUGGUUUGUUACGUCUGCUGUGAAAACCUAGGGCUUAACCCUGGGCUUGCAGUGGAUACGGGCAGACUAGAGGUAGGUAGGGGAGAAUGGAAUUCCUGGUGUAGCGGUGAAAUGCGCAGAUAUCAGGAGGAACACCAGCGGCGAAGGCGGCGCUCUGGGCCGGUACUGACGCUGAGGAGCGAAAGCGUGGGUAGCAAACAGG